UAUACAGAGAGUUAUAUAUAUGUUAAUUAAAAAAUUUCUAAACGUAUCUUUAUCUGAGGAAUUUAUUUAUUUAAUUGUUAAUUCAAUUAUAGAAAUCAUUUUAAAACAUCCAAUGUGUUUAAAUAGUGAAAUAUAUGAAGCAGUGCUUAUAUUUAAAGACUUUAAAAAUAAACAUAUUUCAACAUUAGUUUGGCGCUUCAUAAAUAUAUGCAAAGAGUUGAAUCCUGAACUAUUGGACAGACAAUUUUUAGACAAACAAACAGCUUUGGUCAUACAAAAAAAAAAGUUUAUGAUAAAAGCAGGUGCAGAUCCUAACAAUGAUUCGGUCUUGCAGUAUUCCUAUUUAUUGGAUAUAGGUAAGGAUAGGCAAGUUGCUCAAAUGGAUGGAACUGCCGUAGAAAGUGGUGACGCAAGUGGUGACGCAAGUGGUGACGCAAGUGGUGACGAAAGUGGUGAUGCAAGUGGUGACGAAAGUGGUGAUGCAAGUGGUGAUGCAAGUGGUGAUGCAAGUGGUGAUGCAAGUGGUGACGAAAGUGGUGACGACAAAGGUGAUGAAAAUGGUGAUGAAAAUGGUGAUGAAAAUGAAACCGCUACAAGUACAAACCCUGAAACGACUACCCAUAUUGAUAACAAGGUUGUAAAAUCAGCUCCUAACAAACAACACAGAAUAGAAGAAAGAAAAAAAAAAAAACUGAAAAAGGAAUUAUACAUAAAAGAACAAAACGAAAAAAUGUUAUCCACUAAAAUAUUAACCGAGGAAGAUUUUUAUAAACUAAAAAAACUAAGAGAUUAUAUAAAAAAUAAUAAAGAAGUAAAUACAAAAAAAAUAGAAGAUAUUUACAGUAGUAUAUGUAAUAAUAAUAGUGACAGUAAUGACGAACACGUUUUGUCAGAUGAUGAUGACAGUGAUGGUGAUAUUGGAGGUGAGCAAAAAGAGAUAACUGAAGAAGAUUUAUUAAUAACAAAAAAAGUAAAAAAAAGUAAAAUAAUAAAAAUGAAAAAAAAACAAAACAAAAUAGGUACUACUAACAGAUAUGUAACAAAUAAAGAAAAACAAAAAAAAAAAUCCUUUAUGAUGAUAAUGCAAAAAGUCAAAAGAAAAAAUAUGAGUGCAUUAAACAAGUAUGGAAAACUUAAAAGAAAGCUCAAAGGUAAAUUAGCAUCCAGAGCGAAAAAAACAAAAAUCAAAAACAAAAAUAUAAUGAAAAAGGUAAAGAGAAAUGCGAAGAGGUGAGUUGUAAAUACGUACCAAUUAAGCAAAUGGACCAAACCCCAAAUUUAAUUGAAGCAUUUAUAUGUUUCGUGUGUAUGUAUGUAUGUAUGUAUGUAUGUAACUUUUUAAAAAAAACAAAUGGUACCAUAUAUCAGUGUAUUAUAAUGUGCGUCCGUCCAUGCAUGGUAACACGUGCUAUUACAUAUAUAUAUAUAUAUAUAUAUAUAUAUAUAUAUAUAUAUAUGUAUAUAUGUAUGUACAUCCCAGAGCAAACACAAAUAUAGCUGAACUGCAUGAGCUUACCUUACCCUUUUUUUGCUUAUCAUUUUUACUUUUUGCAUGUAUAUAUAAAUGUGUACGUAUAUUUGUUAUUCCACAUUUGGUUAAUAAGCUAGACCGUUUGAUAGGUCAGCCGGGCG
rnacentral:lncRNA from 1 species